GUGCCAGCAUCCGCGGUAAUACGGAGGGUGCAAGCGUUAAUCGGAAUCACUGGGCGUAAAGGGCACGCAGGCGGCUCGUCAAGUGGGAUGUGGAAGCCCCGGGCUCAACCUGGGAAUGGCAUUCCAAACUGGCGGGCUAGAGUCCGGUAGAGGGAGGCGGAAUUCCCCGUGUAGCGGUGAAAUGCGUAGAUAUGGGGAAGAACACCGGUGGCGAAGGCGGCCUCCUGGACCGGCACUGACGCUGAGGUGCGAAAGCGUGGGCAGCGAACGGGAUUAGAAACCCUUGUAGUCC
rnacentral:rRNA from 1 species